rnacentral:rRNA from 1 species
GACGUAGGGCGCGAGCGUUGUCCGGAUUUAUUGGGCGUAAAGAGCUCGUAGGCGGCUUGUCGCGUCGACCGUGAAAACUUGGGGCUCAACCCCAAGCCUGCGGUCGAUACGGGCAGACUAGAGUUCGGUAGGGGAGACUGGAAUUCCUGGUGUAGCGGUGAAAUGCGCAGAUAUCAGGAGGAACACCGGUGGCGAAGGCGGGUCUCUGGGCCGAAACUGACGCUGAGGGGCGAAAGCGUGGGGAGCGAACAGG